rnacentral:lncRNA from 1 species
GAUAGGAAGAGGUUAAAAAGACAAGCUUCACUAGUCCUCCAAGAGUCAGGUCAGUCUAUACCCAAAGCUUUCUCUCCUCAGGCAGCCAGGGUCAGGAAGGGACAAAUAAAGCUACUUGAAAACCGUGAUACAUCCCAGGCCUCGGUGAGGAGAGUGACUUAUAUUACAAUAUUCCCCUGUCACCUGGUGAAUGCUGAGUAGAGGGGCUACAUUUCCAUUGCUACAGACUAGAAAUCUCAAAGAACUUAGUGAUUUUAUGGAUGAGAAAGAUUGAGGUUGAGAAUCAGCCCACACUUCCUGUUAAAAUGCAAUCAUUAUGUAGGUACCUUCAUGCCAAAUAUGGCUAAUUAUCAACCUCCCAUUCUGACUUCUAGAUUGGAUGGUGCUAUUUUGAAAGGAAGAAAGUUGCCUUAAAUCAGAUUAAAAUACCCAGCUCUUGAAGAUCACAGUGACAGCAAAGACAUUCAAGAGAUAACUAGAAAUUGGAUCUGAAAUACUACUCUAGCUCUGGGAUUGCAUUCUGUUUUCUGCUGAUGACCAAUUGGUUUUUAUCCAAAGCAAUUAUAUUAGCAUACUUGAAUUACCACCCAUUUCCUGACUUCUGAGAAGUGAGGAAUACAAUGUUUCUCCUGCCAAAGAUGAACCCCUUCCUCUGUGAUCCUUUGGAUGCCACUCCAGCUGACUUUCUCAGGAACUUCUCCUCUGCAGAAAAUUGGAAAUGAGCACAGAAUCACACGAAUUGUCUGUUGAAACUGGAAUGUUACUAUCUCCUUGAUCAAUGGAAGAAUCUUUCUUAGUGCAUUUUGAGAUCAAGGGAACAUCAUGAACCAGCAAUCUCCAUGUAGAAAAAGUUGUGAAUACACCGACAUGGCAUUUAAAAAAUCGUCUUGAUGAAAUGUAAUUGUGUCACUUUCCCAAAGCAAAUACAGAGGAAAAUAUAUGCAUUGUCCUUAGUUUCCUUCCAGCUCUAACAGGCACUGUCACAUUAGAAGAGUAUCAUUAUUUUCUUCAAUUUUGAAUAUUAAUAAUUUUCUCAAGAGAUUUUGUUUUAGAGUUAAUAAUCC